AGGAUGAACGCUGGCGGCGUGCUUAACACAUGCAAGUCGAACGAACCUUCGGGUUAGUGGCGGACGGGUGAGUAACGCGUGGGAAUCUGCCCUCAGGAGGGGGAUAACGGCUGGAAACGGCCGCUAAUACCCCAUAUGCCGAGAGGUGAAAUGAAUUUCGCCUGAGGAUGAGCCCGCGUCUGAUUAGCUAGUUGGUGAGGUAAGAGCUCACCAAGGCAUCGAUCAGUAGCUGGUCUGAGAGGAUGAUCAGCCACACUGGGACUGAGACACGGCCCAGACUCCUACGGGAGGCAGCAGUGGGGAAUUUUCCGCAAUGGGCGAAAGCCUGACGGAGCAACGCCGCGUGAGGGAUGAAGGCCUCUGGGCUGUAAACCUCUUUUCUCAAGGAAGAAGAUCUGACGGUACUUGAGGAAUAAGCCACGGCUAAUUCCGUGCCAGCAGCCGCGGUAAUACGGGAGUGGCAAGCGUUAUCCGGAAUUAUUGGGCGUAAAGCGUCCGCAGGCGGCCUUUCAAGUCUGCUGUUAAAACGUGGAGCUUAACUCCAUCAUGGCAGUGGAAACUGUUGGGCUUGAGUGUGGUAGGGGCAGAGGGAAUUCCCGGUGUAGCGGUGAAAUGCGUAGAUAUCGGGAAGAACACCAGUGGCGAAGGCGCUCUGCUGGGCCAUAACUGACGCUCAUGGACGAAAGCCAGGGGAGCGAAAGGGAUUAGAUACCCCUGUAGUCCUGGCCGUAAACGAUGAACACUAGGUGUCGGGGGAAUCGACCCCCUCGGUGUCGUAGCCAACGCGUUAAGUGUUCCGCCUGGGGAGUACGCACGCAAGUGUGAAACUCAAAGGAAUUGACGGGGGCCCGCACAAGCGGUGGAGUAUGUGGUUUAAUUCGAUGCAACGCGAAGAACCUUACCAGGGUUUGACAUCCUGCGAAUCUCUUGGAAACGAGAGAGUGCCCUCGGGAACGCAGUGACAGGUGGUGCAUGGCUGUCGUCAGCUCGUGUCGUGAGAUGUUGGGUUAAGUCCCGCAACGAGCGCAACCCACGUCUUUAGUUGCCAGCAUUUAGUUGGGCACUCUAGAGAGACCGCCGGUGAUAAACCGGAGGAAGGUGUGGAUGACGUCAAGUCAUCAUGCCCCUUACAUCCUGGGCUACACACGUACUACAAUGCUACGGACAAAGAGCAGCAAGUUCGCGAGGACAAGCAAAUCUCAUAAACCGUGGCUCAGUUCAGAUCGUAGGCUGCAACUCGCCUACGUGAAGGAGGAAUCGCUAGUAAUCGCAGGUCAGCAUACUGCGGUGAAUACGUUCCCGGGCCUUGUACACACCGCCCGUCACACCAUGGAAGUUGGCCACGCCCGAAGCCGUUACUCCAACCCUUGUGGAGGAGGACGUCGAAGGUGGGGCUGAUGACUGGGGUGAAGUCGUAACAAGGUAGCCGU
rnacentral:rRNA from 1 species